AUCUCUUUGAGAGUGGGAUGCAGUGGUGGAGGUGUCAAAUAGCAUGCAAGAAGAGUGUAGGUGAAUAGUGAAUACUAGAGUAAAUGGUGUAUAUAUUUUUUGAAUAAUGUAGAUCACAAAUUUCAUUGUUAUGAAUUGAUUUUUAUAUGUCUGAUGGCUACGGCGCGCUUCAUCGGCAGACAUUUAAAUGUAAUGUUUUUAGCUGACAGCGUUUGACAUUAUAAAUCAAAUUGUUAGCUGCCGUCAUCCCUGUAUAAAGCUGCUCAGAUGUCUGGAAGAGAUGACAUGUACUUCCCACCACCACCUCCACCUGUUAUGCCUGUUUUGCUCAAUAGCAUCCCGCAGAUAAAUCCGAUUAGUGCGUGUGGCUUCAUUACUGUACCAGUCAGUGUAAUACCAUGCGGAUUUCAGCAUCCGGAGCAAGAGUUAUUUGAGGCAACGAGACUGCUGUGGGAACGAGAAAGAAGCGAAUAUCCUCCAGAAGUAUUAUGUUACAACCACAUACAGCCAAUACUUCAAGAUGGACCAAAAUGUGGGCUUGUCGCUCUCAGUAUGGCUUCGACUUUGACAAGGCAGCCACUGUCUGUGGAGCAACUUUUCUGGAAGGCAGUUAACCGUGGCUUCAGUCACCAUGGAGAGAUGUUUUCUGUGGACAAUAUGGCAGCACUAGCAGCAGAAACAUUGCAAGACAGUUGUCAGCAAGUUGAGGUACUGAACAGAGGACUUGGUCAUGAUGUGACAUACAUUUUAGGUCAUCUUGCUCAUGGUGCAAUUCUUCUUGUCCCCUAUGAUGCAGAUGCUAACCACGCACCAUGUCUUAGACGUGGACACAAAGCUCACUGGGCUGCUGUGUGUGGGGCAGUAAGACUGGACUCAUCUGCUGUUUAUGUAGUUGCUCGACAGGGAAAGAGUCGUCGUCUGGCUUUGUGGUCAUAUGAAGAACUCCGCCUCAGCAAUGAGAACCUCAUUGAGCUUGAUCCGGACAUUUUGUAAGCCAGGGAAGUGAGCAAAAUGAUAUAUCAACCAAGGAGACUUCCAGGGAAACACUGUUGCACAAUUUGCCAUUCCCUUGCAGGAUAAUAUAUCAGUGUUGUCAGAGAGCCGUGUGUCUGUUGGAGGAAGAGUGGAGGUGAGGAACAAGAAGAUGAGAUACGAGCAGCUGAUGGCCGUGGAUAUGUAUUGCCUCAUGGUGGUGUCGCAGCAGGAUUACGUGGACGUGCCAUUCUCUUACAUGGCCUCAAUUAGUUUACUAGAUAUUUUGUGCACACCAGUGCCAUAAUCCAUCCUUUUGUGCUGGGCAUUGCUGCUUACUGAUGGUUGUCACGGUUGAUGUUACUGAUACAAAUAGUAGUUCUUUUAAAUUAUUAGUGUUCACUGAAGUUCUUCAUUCACAGUUGUGUGUUGCUUAGAGUUAACUUCCUGCUUAUAAGGAGAGAGAUAAAGAUAGGGGCAAAAUGAUUUCUUUACAGAACCAUGCUUUUAUUAUUUAAGGUAUUAUUUGAAUUUAUUUCUGUUCUUAUCAUGGAUCAAGAUUUUUUACCUCACAGGCGUUAAUUUGUGGCAUUUAGACAGUGGAUUUAUUAUGUAAUAUUUUGGUACUGAUGUCAAUUAUUUGGUUGCCUUGUUUCUUCUGUGGCUGCAUUAUUUUGGGUAUAUUGAAAUAAGUACAGUUACACUAUGUGUAGUAGGCAUUGCAGGUACAUUGAUUAUUGGGAUAGGUAAUGGCUUACCUUCACAUGCAGCUUAAUGUCAUUUAAUUUUUUUAGUUGCUGUAUGUGCCAACUUUGUGAACACUUAAAUGUAAACCAGCUUACAUUGUUAAACUGAACUAGUCUGAUGCUACAAGUUAAUGACGACAAACAUGUAAACUAAAAUAUUCUUUUUUAUUUUGUGGUAUGUAAUUUUCUCAUCAGUCUUAAAUGUAAAAAAGUUUCUGGGUCGAUUAGAAGACAAUACUGCAAUUUGCAGAUUUUUAAGUCGUGUAUUGUAAUAUUUCAACGUGUUGUGCAGUAUGAAACUGAAUAGUCGUGUGUAAUGGAAUUUUUGGACUCAUUGAUAGACGUAUAAUACUCACCGAAUAGCAAUUAAAAGCAGCAUUUCUAGCUGUGACACUAUAUUGUUGCAAAAAUUUCUCUUUUGGCCAUUCUUUUUUUGGUUUCUGGGAUCACAUGAAUGUGAUGACUUGAGUGAUAUUUGGUUUGCAUCACCAUUAACAUUUGCAAUGCUGCAAUCAAGAGUUUUUGUCAUUGUGAAUGAGAACUUGCAAAUAUAUGAAAAGGAAUUACUUCAAAGUUUGUAUUCCUGUUGAAAUACAUUUUUCUCAUAAUGUGAUUUGAAAUUGUGCACCACUGAGUAUCAUAACCAUACAGUUCUUCAGCCUGCAUUUAACUUCUCUUUACUUUUUUUUAUUGCCUCAUUACAUUUGUAAGUCAGUUCAAAGGUUUGAGGAAGGCAACAACUUAUCACCUCCAAUAGGACCAUGCUUCAUAAAGUACUGUGGUGUUCAGACCAACCUUCAGGUUGAUGACAGUUUUACUUUUUACUUACACCUGGAGCAUGUCUCAUUUUUCAGUUGCUCUCAGUGGUGUGGAACCAUUAUAGAAAAAAUACUCUGGUGUCAAUUAAGCUCACGUUCUUCCUUACGAAAUGAACAUGCCACCACCUUGAAACUGAUGGUGUUAACGUGCUUCUUCUUCUUCUUCAUUUAAAGCUAGUUUCAAAUUUAAGGUAGAGUUGAAUAAAAAUGCAUUUGAUUCUCAUUUAUGUUAUUUACAGAAAAUAUAUAAAACUUUACUGAGUUUUAUUGUAUUGCAGCUUUGCUUUCCAUUUGUAAAUUAGCAUACUCUAGUCAUAAUAUUGUACACUAAAAGUACCAGUUUGUGCCACAUUUUAAAGGCUUCCAUCAAUGGAGUAUUGGAGUGAACAUUCACGUCUUGCUGCACCAAGAAAUUCUGUUGCUGUGUGUCCUGGUGCAACAUAGUAAAUCCUGUUUGUUUUCUGCUUCUUCUUGAGGAUCUCUUUCACCACAUAUGUUUAAAGGCUAGUGUGAUUUACAUUUCAUUCUGACCCUGCUCCCCUCCUUGACUUGUUAAUUAUUGUUUCCAAGUACUUAGAGUACAAAUAUACAGUUAGAGGGAUGAGGUAGUACCGAGCUCUUCAUUGGCUAUAUCCUUUACUUUACCAGGAAGUGAUCUGAAGAUGUUGCUGAUGAAUCUGGCCUACGCACAUAGAGAAAGCAAUUUUAAUUUUAGAAGAAUUGGCUUUUACAGAAUAUAUGCACUGUAUCUUCCUGAUGUUACCUAUUGUGACAACUGGACGAGUAAUUGUUUUCGCUGUGCGUAAUUUCAGGGUGUUAGUUUUGAAUUUGUGAUGUGUGUGUAACCUGUAUUGUUACUGUUCUUCCAUGAUACGUGUAUUUUAUAACAUAUCUGCCUUUCAUAAUUAACAGUCUGUGAUACAAAAGUUUUAUGAACAUUGUAUACAUGCAUUAGAAGGUAUUCAAGUGGACAGUAUUUGCUUUCUUUCCAAAAUAACAAAGUACUGUACUGUAUUGGAUUGUUUAUAUUUGAGUUUUUGUAGAAUACAAUGGAAGAAAAUUUGACGCACUGUAGUUAAUACUUGAUAUUGAAUGUAUAUUAUCCUUCGAAAAUGUAUAUAAGGAAUAAAUAUUUUAUUUUUUUGUCGGUGUCUACUACUUUGACUUCUUAUUAGAGCUGAAAGACUCUCUUUGGACAUUGAGUUUAUGAUAAUAAGGUAAGAGCACUGGUAAGCAGUGGGUAAUGUUAUAACUGCAAACAGCCAUCACUGAAUAACAAAAACUAGAAAUAUGUAAGACAGAUGUACAGGGUGUUUCAAAAUGAAUUAACUGAUUGUAGCCAUUUAUAUCUAUUGAUACAUGCUGCACAACAAGGAUAAAUUCCAGAAUACCAUA